UUGCUUUGAUCCUUUUUCAGUGAAAGCUUUUGUAAUAAUAGGAAUUACUAAUGAUUUUGGUUUGAAGUAUUCGAUUUAUUUAGAGAUAAUUUUGUUGUUUUUCUUUCUGCAAAUAUGUUAGCUCUGUAAUUGAUUGAUAAAUGUGAAAAAUUGAUAUAAAAAAGGUUGUGAAAAAAUUGAACAAAUUUAAACAAAAGUCGUUCGUUGGCUUCGGUUUGUUGAAGAACUCGGUUCAGUUUCAGUUUCUCAAAAAUUGAAAUUUGAAAGUCCGAUUGC